ACACGAGUGAAGCCCCUCUACCGCUAACAAGAUAUCAACAAAAAAAUAUUAUAAUCCCUAACCCUAAUAACAUUUCCUACUCCUGCCGCAUCAGACUAGCGAGCCAAGCCACCGACGGCCGACGUCGAGCCUCCGCGGCCGAGCCUCCGCCUAGCACCAACUCCGUCGUCGAUCGUCCUAUGCGACCACGCCCCCGUCCGCCUUCCGUCUCCUGCCUCCACUGAGUCGCGGGCGCGACAUCGGGGAACGCCAAGGCUGAGCUUCGCCCAGACGCCUACCGCCCUGUUAUGCCCCAAACCGCCGUGCUGAGGUCCGCCCAGGCCGGGCCAGGAGCUUCUCCCGGCAGACCCACCCCCGCCCAACGGAGCUCCAUGCCUCCGCCCAGGGCCAUUGUCCGAGCUACGCCCCACGCUCCUGUCCAGUGCCCUGGCCACUUAGAUGGUUCUGCUCAGUCAUGGUAUUUUUAGUGUCUGGUUCAACAACUUCAACUUCAACCAAGGGACGCAUCUAUCACAAGACGUAUGGUUGCCAAAUGAAUAUAAGUGACAUGGAGAUUGUGCUUUCUAUCAUGAAAAAUGAAGUGAUACGGGUCUGCCAUCUCUAUAUGACAUUUGGCUGUAAAUGGAUUAUGAUCAUAGUUGAAUAAGUUGGAGCGUCAGGUCAAUGGUCCCCCCAAUAAUUAAACUAGAUGGUGGAGUGGAGUGUGACGGAACCUCCCAAGUAACUAGGCCCACCUACAGUUGUCCUUGUCUAACAGACAUCAGACACCCUGUAGAUGUUCCUAAGUCACUUGACAAGCUCGGUAUCUUUCCUUACCUCACCAGGAACGUUUCACCCGUCUUGCAGACAUUACAGAACAUCGGAGAUAAAGAAAUGCGGAAGCAAUUACAUAAUCUUACAUUUAUUUCAAAAGCAAGCUUGAGUUAUUUUAUUACAGACCAGAACUAAAAGUGAGUGCAGAGUAGUAAUAUUAUACAAACCAAGGGAGGCACAGACUCUUCCCGAUAAGUUAUAAGCAAAAGAUCCUAAGUGGAGGACCGAGUCCUCCCGCACUUCAGUCUUGUUUUUCCUCAUUUGGUACCACCUUGGAGCAAAAGCAACAAAAAUUUGUCGCUUCCUCA